GUUGGUGCCUGCCUCCCUAGGCCUGCUGCCAGCUUAGGCAGCAACACCCGUCAACAGUAGCCUUAAAACCUGGGACUGGCCCAGGUGAAAGGGUCACUGGCAGACUCACAUGCGGAAUAUUACAUGGCAACCUACAGGAGCCAAUCACAGCUGUGGUCAUGGCAACGGUGAAGCUCUAUGCCCAACUCAGUGCAUGCUUGGGGUUUCAGAAGAGGCCCCAUUUUUCAUUUCAAAAUCAGAUCCCAAGACCUUGCUAGGAGCGAGCAGAGCAGGAAGGAGUACAGAGACCUGAGGCUGUUCUGCAACUUGUAAUUCAGACCACUGACAUCAAACUGACAAGAUCCAUCUACAACUGCCUCCUGAGUACUGAAAUUAAAAGCAUGCAUCACCAUGACCAACCUGGACUGCUUUCAUAUUGUGAUAUUAACAUGAGAUCUUGGGGACAAGAAAUUAAAAAGUUGCUUUAGGUCACGGUGUCUUGUCACAGCAGUAGAGAGAAACAUAUUGGGACAGUAUUGUUUGAGACGGGAGUGAUACUGUCCCACAUCACAGAGAAGGCAGUGAGCACAGGGCUGGCUCUCCUGCAUGCUCUGAAGUCAGAACAGCCCUAACAGCUGGAAGCCACACUGAGGACGAGGACAUGGAGGAAGCAGGGGAUUGACAGGUUUGGAGCUCUGAGACACUUUGGUCGUCUAGCCGGAAGAAGGAACAGCUGAGUGAGGAAUCGUGGCACAGGAAUGGCAC